GGGCGGCCGGACCCGGUGCGCGCUGCCUGCCAGCUCCGGCCCGGCCGUGGGCGCGGCGGGCGAGGGCGAGCCCGGAGCGGGGAGCGGGGGAGCGGCGGGGGCAUGUGGAUGUUGGCCGUCGCCUUGCUCCACAGCAUCUCGCAUGUUUUCGGUGAAGAGCUACACGCCAGUCUCUAUUUUGUCAAUGCAUCUCUGCAAGAGGUAGUGUUUGCUAGCACCACAGGGACCCUGGUCCCCUGUCCAGCAGCGGGGAUCCCCCCGGUGACGCUCAGAUGGUACCUAGCGACGGGCGAGGAGAUCUACGAUGUCCCAGGGAUCCGCCACGUCCACCCCAAUGGCACUCUCCAAAUUUUCCCCUUCCCUCCUUCAAGCUUUAAUAACUUAAUCCAUGAUAACACUUACUAUUGCACAGCUGAAAAUCCUUCAGGGAAAAUCAGGAGUCAGGAUGUUCACAUUAAGGCUGUUUUACGGGAACCCUAUACAGUCCGUGUGGAGGACCAGAAAGCCAUGAGAGGCAAUGUAGCAGUGUUCAAGUGCAUUAUCCCCUCCUCUGUGGAGGCAUACAUCACUGUUGUCUCAUGGGAGAAAGACACAGUCUCGCUUGUCUCAGGACCUAGAUUUCUCAUCACAUCCACGGGAGCCUUGUAUAUUUUAGACGUACAAAAUGAAGAUGGACUGUACAACUACCGAUGUAUCACAAGGCACAGAUACACUGGAGAAACACGACAGAGCAACAGCGCAAGACUUUUUACCCAGCGAAUUCAGCUCCAUCUAUCCUAGAUGGGUUUGACCACCGCAAAGCCAUGGCAGGACAGCGAGUGGAGCUGCCUUGCAAAGCAUCAGGGCACCCAGCACCAAAGUACCGCUGGCUGAAGGACAACGUGCCCUGGGAGCCCGACAGCCGCUUCCGGCAGACGGUGACGGGGCUGCUCAUCGAGAACACGCGGCCCUCGGACUCGGGCAGCUACGUCUGCGAGGUGUGGAACAACUACGGCACCGCCGAGGUCAUCGGCCGCCUCCACGUCAAACAACCACUCAAAGCCACCAUCAGCCCGCGCAAAGUCAAAAGCAGCGUCGGUAGCCAAGUGUCCUUGUCCUGCAGCGUGACGGGGACCGAGGACCAGGAGCUGUCCUGGUACCGCAACGGGGAAAUCAUCAACCCUGGCAACAACGUGCGCAUCACCGGGGUCAACCGCGAGAACCUGAUCAUGGACGGCAUGGCCAAGAGCGACGGCGGCGCCUACCAGUGCUUUGUGCGCAAGGACAAGAUGUCAGCUCAAGACUACGUACAGGUGGUGCUGGAAGACGGAACUCCCAAAAUCAUCUCCGCCUUCAGCGAGAAAGUGGUGAGCCCAGGAGAGCCAGUGUCCCUGAUGUGCAACGUGAAGGGGACUCCCCUGCCCACCAUCACCUGGACACUGGACGAGGAUCCCAUCGUGAAGGACGGCAGCCACCGGAUCAGCCAGAUCAUCACGUCCGAGGGCAACGUGGUCAGUUACCUGAACAUCUCCAACACCCAGGUCCGGGACGGAGGAGUUUAUCGCUGCACUGCCAACAACUCUGCGGGAGUCGUCCUGUACCAGGCUCGAAUAAACGUAAGAGGGCCAGCGAGCAUUCGGCCCAUGAAGAACAUCACGGCCAUCGCUGGGAGGGACACCUACAUCCACUGCAGGGUCAUCGGGUAUCCCUACUACUCCAUCAAGUGGUACAAGAACUCCAACCUGCUGCCCUUCAACCAUCGCCAAGUGGCGUUCGAGAACAACGGCACGCUGAAGCUCUCGGACGUGCAGAAGGAGGUGGACGAGGGCGAGUACACCUGCAAUGUCCUGGUCCAGCCCCAGCUGUCCACCAGCCAGAGCGUGCACGUGACGGUGAAAGUCCCACCUUUCAUCCAACCUUUCGAGUUCCCUCGCUUCUCCAUCGGGCAGAGGGUCUUCAUCCCCUGCGUGGUGGUCUCGGGGGACCUGCCCAUCACCAUCACCUGGCAGAAGGACGGCCGGCCCAUCCCCGCCAGCCUGGGCGUCACCAUCGACAACAUCGACUUCACCAGCUCCCUGAGGAUCUCCAACCUCUCCCUGAUGCACAACGGGAACUACACCUGCAUCGCCAGGAACGACGCGGCAGCCGUGGAGCACCAGAGCCAAUUAAUCGUCAGGGUGCCCCCCAGGUUUGUGGUCCAGCCCAGCGACCAGGACGGGAUCUAUGGGAAAGCCGUCAUUCUGAACUGCUCUGCCGAGGGUUAUCCCGUCCCCACCAUUGUCUGGAAGUACUCCAAAGGUGCCGGGGUUCCCCAGUUCCAGCCGAUCGCGCUGAACGGUCGGAUCCAGCUGCUCACAAACGGCUCCUUGCUGAUCAAACAUGUGCUGGAAGAAGACAGUGGAUACUACCUCUGCAAGGUCAGCAAUGAUGUGGGAGCAGACGUCAGCAAGUCCAUGUACCUCACUGUUAAAAUUCCAGCUAUGAUAACCUCCUACCCAAACACCACCCUGGCAACUCAAGGCCAAAAGAAGGAGAUGAGCUGCACGGCACAUGGAGAGAAACCCAUCAUAGUCCGCUGGGAGAAGGAAGACCGGAUCAUUAACCCCGAAAUGUCCCGUUACCUGGUUUCCACCAAGGAGGUUGGGGAUGAAGUGAUUUCUACCCUGCAGAUUCUGCCAACUGUGCGUGAAGAUUCUGGCUUCUUCUCCUGCCACGCCAUCAAUUCUUACGGGGAGGAUCGUGGAAUAAUUCAGCUCACUGUGCAAGAGCCCCCUGACCCCCCUGAGAUAGAGAUCCGGGAGGUGAGAGCUCGGAGCAUCGCCCUCAGGUGGACCAUGGGCUUCGACGGCAACAGCCCCAUCACCGGCUACGACAUCGAGUGCAAGAACAAGUCAGACUCUUGGGAUUCUGUCCAGAGAACAAGAGAUGUUUCCCCUCAGCUAAACCAAGCCACCAUCAUCGACCUGCACCCGUCCUCCACCUACAACAUCCGCAUGUACGCCAAGAACCGCAUCGGCAAGAGCGAGGCCAGCAAUGAGCUCACCAUCACCACUGAUGAAGCAGCCCCUGAUGGUCCACCUCAGGAUGUGCAGCUUGAGCCUAUAUCUUCCCAGAGCAUCAGAGUCACCUGGAAGGCUCCAAAGAAGCACUUGCAGAAUGGAAUUAUCCGUGGGUACCAGAUAGGUUAUCGGGAGUACAGCGCGGGGGGAAAUUUCCAGUUCAACAUCAUCAGCAUCGACACCACCGGGGACAGUGAGGUGUAUACACUGAAUAACCUGAAAAAAUUCACCCAGUAUGGCAUGGUGGUACAGGCCUGUAACCGGGCUGGGAUUGGACCUUCUUCUCAGGAAAUCAUCACCACCACUCUUGAGGACGUGCCCAGUUGCCCUCCAGGGAAUGUGCAAGCCACCGCCACGUCCCCAGAAACCAUCUCCAUUUCCUGGUCAACGCUGGCAAAGGAAACCCUGAACGGGAUCCUGCAGGGAUUCAGGGUCAUCUACUGGGCCAACCUCUUGGAUGGAGAGCUGGGAGAGAUAAAGAAUGUCACCACUACCCAACCAUCCCUGGAGCUGGAUGGCCUGGAAAAAUACACCAACUACAGCAUCCAGGUGUUGGCUUUUACCCGAGCUGGGGAUGGAGUGAGGAGCGAGCAGAUUUUCACCCGCACUAAAGAGGAUGUUCCAGGUCCUCCUGCUGGAGUUAAAGCAGCUGCUGCCUCAGCCUCCACGGUUUUUGUGUCCUGGCUGCCUCCCCUGAAGCUGAACGGCAUCAUCCGGAAAUACACCGUGUUCUGCUCCCACCCCUACCCCACAGUGAUCAGCGAGUUUGAAGCCUCUCCCGACUCAUUUUCCUACAGAAUCCCCAACCUGAGCCGGAAUCGCCAGUACAGCGUGUGGGUGGUGGCCGUGACGGCUGCGGGGAGAGGCAACAGCAGCGAGAUCAUCACGGUGGAACCGCUGGCCAAAGCUCCUGCCAGGAUCCUGACGUUCAGCGGGACGGUGACAACGCCCUGGAUGAAGGACAUUGUCCUCCCUUGCAAAGCCGUGGGGGACCCUGCUCCAACAGUCAAGUGGAUGAAGGAUAGUAACGGGACACCCAGUCUAGUGAUGAUUGAUGGGCGAAGGAGCAUCUUCAGCAACGGCAGCUUCGUCAUCAGGACUGUGAAAGCAGAAGACUCUGGCUACUACAGCUGUGUGGCCAGCAACAACUGGGGCUCAGAUGAAAUCAUUUUGAAUUUGCAGGUACAAGUUCCACCAGACCAGCCAAGACUCACUGUAUCCAAAACUACAUCUUCCUCUAUCACACUUUCUUGGAUACCUGGAGACAAUGGUGGCAGUUCUAUCCGAGGUUAUAUCCUGCAGUACUCAGAGGAUAACAGUGAGCAGUGGGGCAGUUUCCCCAUCAGCCCCAGUGAGAGGUCCUACAGGCUGGAAACGCUGAAAUGUGGCACCUGGUACAAGUUCACCCUGACUGCUCAGAACGGGGUGGGGCCGGGGCGCAUCAGCGAGAUCAUCGAGGCCAAGACGCUCGGCAAAGAGCCACAGUUUUCCAAGGAGCAAGAGCUCUUUGCCAGCAUCAACACCACGCGGGUGAGGCUGAACCUGAUCGGCUGGAACGAUGGUGGCUGCCCCAUCACCUCCUUCACCCUGGAGUACCGACCCUUUGGGACCACGGUCUGGACAACAGCCCAGAGGACAUCCCUGUCCAAGUCCUACAUCCUCUACGACCUCCAGGAGGCCACCUGGUACGAGCUGCAAAUGAGAGUGUGCAACAGUGCUGGCUGUGCAGAGAAACAAGCCAAAUUUGCCACGCUCAAUUAUGAUGGCAGUACAAUCCCACCUCUCAUCAAGUCGGUUGUGCAAAGUGAGGAAGGGCUGGGAACCAACGAAGGGCUGAAGAUGCUGGUGACCAUCUCCUGUAUCUUGGUUGGGGUCUUGCUGCUCUUUGUGAUGCUGCUGAUCGUGAGGAGGAGGAGGAGGGAGCAGAGGCUGAAGAGGCUGCGAGAUGCAAAGAGUUUGGCUGAAAUGCUUAUGAGCAAGAACACCAGGACAUCAGACACACUUAAUAAGCAGCAGCAAACGCUGAGGAUGCACAUAGACAUUCCCAGAGCACAGCUGCUGAUAGAGGAGAGGGACACCAUGGAGACCAUUGACGACAGAUCCACGGUUCUGCUGACUGAUGCUGACUUUGGAGAGACGUCCAAGCAGAAGUCCCUGACUGUCACCCACACGGUCCAUUACCAGUCGGUGUCACAAGCCACAGGGCCACUGGUGGAUGUCUCUGAUGCCCGGCCAGGAACGAAUCCCACCACGAGGAGGAGUGCCAAAACCGGACCCACCGCGCGCAACCGCUACGCCAGCCAGUGGACCCUCAACAGGCCCCACCCCACCAUCUCAGCACACACCCUCACCACAGACUGGAGGCUCCCCACGCCCAGGCCAGCAGGAUCAGUGGACAAGGAAAGUGACAGCUACAGCGUCAGCCCCUCGCAGGACACAGACCGGGCGAGGAGCAGCAUGGUCUCCACAGAAAGUGCCUCCUCCACCUACGAAGAGCUGGCCAGGGCCUACGAGCACGCCAAGAUGGAAGAGCAGCUGAGGCACGCCAAGUUCACCAUCACCGAGUGCUUCAUCUCAGACACGUCCUCGGAGCAGCUGACGGCAGGGACCAACGACUACACGGACAGCCUGACGUCCAGCACGCCCUCCGAGUCGGGCAUCUGCCGCUUCACCGCCUCCCCGCCCAAGCCGCAGGACGGAGGGCGCGUGACCAACAUGGCAGUGCCCAAGGCACACCGCCCAGGUGAUCUCAUGCAUUUGCCACCCUACCUUAGGAUGGACUUUUUAUUGAACCGUGGCGUGCAGGGCACGAGCAGAGACCUGGGUUUGGGGCAAGCCUGCUUGGAGCCACAGAAAAGCCGAACCUUGAAGCGUCCCACCGUGCUGGAGCCGAUCCCCAUGGAGACAUCCUCCACGAGAGACGCCCAGUCAUGGCAACCUGGUGCUGUGGCAACGUUACCUCAGCGAGAAGGAGCUGAGCUAGGACAGGCUCAAGCAAAAAUGAGCAGCUCCCAAGAAUCCCUGCUGGACUCACGGGGCCACUUGAAAGGAAACAAUCCCUACGCAAAAUCUUACACCCUGGUAUAACGAAAAGAGCAUGGCUGGACAGUGGCUGUAAAUAUUUACACUGAAAAACAAAACAAACAAACAAAAAAGUCCAAUGAAAGCUACCUUUUUUUUAUUGAAUUCCAAUAUUUAUAAUUAAAGAAGAAGAUUGCCAAAAUAUUUGACAAAAAAAAAAAAAUAAUAUGAACGACAGACAGUGCAAAGACUCUCUUGCUUUUUUUCUGUCUGAGUGUGAGCUUCAUCUGACUGGACAUCUGAAUUUUUGGGUAAAAGAGUCCAGUUUUCUGAUCUUCACAAGCGUUUGUGUUUUUACUGAUUUUCUACGAAGUGCAUGGAGACUUAACAAAAACAUUUUAACUGGAAGUUCCAUCAGACAAGAUUUAAAAGUGAAAAAAAAAUCACAAAAAAAAAAAAA
ensembl:lncRNA